rnacentral:lncRNA from 1 species
CUCAGACAUCCAAGGAAGGAUAAAAGCAGCAUGCACUCUCAAGCCUGGCGAAGGCGAAAGCACUUAGGCGGCCACUGCGAAUGUUUUGAGAAACAAGCCUUAAAAUGUAUCAUCAUAGGCAAAAAGAUUAUUUUAACAAAGAAAUAAAACAAAGCAACUUAUCAAAUUAAUCCCAAAAAAAAGUGUACCAUCCGAUAAUGAUCAGCAAAGCAUAAAAUAAAACAAUGCUGACAAAGUGAAGAAUGGAGUUCAAUUAUCAGGGACUUGUUCAUCCCUAAAGCAACUUUACAUUUGCUUAAGGGGCAGACAUUCUAGUCCCAAAUCCCCUGAUUUAUAAAACAAAGAUCCUAAUGUUUCCAAUAAGCUAUAAUCUUUAGCAACACAUAACAUUAAAAAUUCCAAAUUUGACAUCAAAAUGGUAGAUUAAAAGGCAAAAGUUACAAAAUGUAAUACUUGUAAGAUGAAAGUGUAUUGUCUCAGACAUCCAAGGAAGGAUAAAAGCAGCAUGAACUCUCAAGCCAGGCGAAGGCGAAAGCACUUAGGCGGCCACUGAGAAUGUUUUGAGAAACAAGCCUUAAAAUUUAUCAUCAUAGACACCAUAAGAUUAAGAUUCAACAAAAUAAAUCAAUGUACAAUGAUACUACAAACUAGUUAGCUAAUUGUAUAAAUUCUCUGCACAUUCUGCUCUAUAAAAACAAUUUAACAAAACUUGUUUGGACCGCAGCAAACGUUAUUGUUCCAGAUCCCCUGAUAUCAUAAAACAAAUAUCAUAAUAUUCAAAAAAGCUAUACUUUAGCCACAUAAAGCAAUAAAUAUUCCAAAUUCGGCUACAAAAUGACAGUUUCAACAGCACAAGCACCAAAAAAUAACAAAAAGGGCCAAAAUCACUAGUUGAAAAGGCAAAAGUUUUAAUUUUUUUAAAUAAUUAAAGGAGGUUGAAAAGGUGGUGUCUCAAACAUCCAAGGAAGGAUAAAAGCAGCAUUAACUCUCAAGCCUGGCGAAGGCGAAAGCUCUUAGUCGGCCACUGCGAAUGUCUUGAGAAACAAGCCUUCAGAUUUAUCAUCAUAGACACCACUUCAAUUGACAUUCAAUCAAUCAAUCAAUCAAAACACAAUGCACUUAAACUAAUAAAGGUCUAUUAUAAGAAUCGUCAGUCUAGUAAUUUAAUUUUAAAAACAGCAGCUAACAUUCAAAAUAAAUACAAAUAAACAAAGGCAAGAUUCAAGUUUGGAUUAUGAAGGGGGGAUCUCAGACAUCCAAGGAAGGAUAAAAGCAGCAUUUACUCUCAAGCCUGGCGAAGGCGAAAGCACUUAGGCGGCCACUGCGAAUGUUUUGAGAAACAAGCCUUCAAAUUCAUCAUCACCGAUCUCCCCAGUAUGAAAAAAAAAUGAAAAUUUUGAUUCCUUAUCAAUAACCCUAAUAGGAAAAAGUUUUGAUUUUGAAAAUAAAAAAGUUAAAGAUAGGCAAAAGAUAUUUCGUCAAAAACUGCUGUGAU